rnacentral:rRNA from 1 species
UUCCGUAGGUGAACCUGCGGAAGGAUCAUUACCGAGUGAGGGCCCUUUGGGUCCAACCUCCCACCCGUGUUUAUUUUACCUUGUUGCUUCGGCGGGCCCGCCUUUACUGGCCGCCGGGGGGCUCACGCCCCCGGGCCCGCGCCCGCCGAAGACACCCCCGAACUCUGUCUGAAGAUUGAAGUCUGAGUGAAAAUAUAAAUUAUUUAAAACUUUCAACAACGGAUCUCUUGGUUCCGGCAUCGAUGAAGAACGCAGCGAAAUGCGAUACGUAAUGUGAAUUGCAAAUUCAGUGAAUCAUCGAGUCUUUGAACGCACAUUGCGCCCCCUGGUAUUCCGGGGGGCAUGCCUGUCCGAGCGUCAUUGCUGCCCUCAAGCCCGGCUUGUGUGUUGGGCCCCGUCCUCCGAUUCCGGGGGACGGGCCCGAAAGGCAGCGGCGGCACCGCGUCCGGUCCUCGAGCGUAUGGGGCUUUGUCACCCGCUCUGUAGGCCCGGCCGGCGCUUGCCGAUCAACCCAAAUUUUUAUCCAGGUUGACCUCGGAUCAGGUAGGGAUACCCGCUGAACUUAAGCAUAUCAAUAAGCGGAGGAA